rnacentral:rRNA from 1 species
UACGGAGGGGGCUAGCGUUGUUCGGAAUUACUGGGCGUAAAGCGCACGUAGGCGGCGAUCUAAGUCAGGGGUGAAAGCCCGGGGCUCAACCCCGGAAUUGCCCUUGAGACUGGAUUGCUAGAAUCUUGGAGAGGCGAGUGGAAUUCCGAGUGUAGAGGUGAAAUUCGUAGAUAUUCGGAAGAACACCAGUGGCGAAGGCGGCUCGCUGGACAAGUAUUGACGCUGAGGUGCGAAAGCGUGGGGAG